rnacentral:rRNA from 1 species
CUGGGCGUAAGGGUGCGUAGGUGGAUAUUUAAGUCAGAUGUGAAACCCCUGGGCUCAACUCAGGGACUGCAUUUGAAACUGGAUAUCUGGAGUGCAGGAGAGGUAAGUGGAAUUCCUAGUGUAGCGGUGAAAUGCGUAGAGAUUAGGAAGAACACCAGUGGCGAAGGCGACUUACUGGACUGUAACUGACACUGAGGCACGAAAGCGUGGGUAGCAAACAGGAUUAGAUACCCUGGUAGUCCACGCCGUAAACGAUGAGUACUAGGUGUAGGGGGUAUCGACUCCCUCUGUGCCGCAGUUAACACAAUAAGUACUCCGCCUGGGAAGUACGAUCGCAAGAUUAAAACUCAAAGGAAUUGACGGGGGCCCGCACAAGCAGCGGAGCAUGUGGUUUAAUUCGAAGCAACGCGAAGAACCUUACCUGGACUUGACAUCCCCUGCAUAGCCAAGAGAUUGGUGAAGCCCUUCGGGGCAGGGAGACAGGUGGUGCAUGGUUGUCGUCAGCUCGUGUCGUGAGAUGUUAGGUUAAGUCCUGCAACGAGCGCAACCCUUAUCAUUAGUUGCUACCAUUAAGUUGAGCACUCUAGUGAGACUGCCCGGGUUAACCGGGAGGAAGGUGGGGAUGACGUC